GUAGAUAUAGUUUAACUAAAACAUUAGAUUGUGAAUCUAAUAUCAGAAGCAUAGAAACUUCUUAUCUACC
rnacentral:tRNA from 1 species